rnacentral:lncRNA from 1 species
UUGUUGCUCCGUUUCAACACUAGGUUUGAUAUCUUCAGUAUCUUCCCCUUGCUCUGUUUCUGAAGAAGACUUUGCACUUUUGUUGACAAUUUCCUCAGGCUUUUGCUCACUUUUUUCCUCUGCCUCAUUAUCGCACUUCUUGCUUGCCUAUUCGAGAAAAUAUUUUCAGCAUAUAGGAAGAAUGAAAGAAAAGAAAUGAUGUUUUAUACGAAUAGGCUCAAAGUUAUUGAAAACAAUAUGUGUGAUGUUUCAUUGUUCUUUCUUUAAACAGAUUGUUAAUGGAAGUUCUUUAUAACGUGGUUUUUUCUAGGCAUUUAUCAUUUUCUUGAACAUCAUGUUAGAUUGGUAUGGCAUGCGCUUCGGGCUCAACAAUGGUGGAGGAGAAGAAUAUUUGACAUUAAAACAGUGCAUGAGGUUCAUAAGAUGAGUCUUAUGGUUUAAGCAUAGAGUAAGUAAGAAAAAGCAGCAACAUUUCCAUAUUUGUACAUACUCUACAACUUAAUAUAAACUAUGUCCAGAAUUUGUGUAUGUUAUCUUGUUUAGGGCCUUUAUAGGGCAUAAUGCAUGCUUCUUAGUUUUUCUUUUUCAUAAACAUGAGAUAAGAAAUUAUGUAGCAGACAACAUUUCCAUAUUUCUUAAGAAUAUGGCAUUUCAAAUUUUAGUUGGAUUGAUUUACAAGUAAAACCUUUUUGGAAUAGUUAGGGUUUCCUUAUAACGACUAAUGAACAUGAGUUACCUCUUGAGCAUCACUUGGUUUGUCCUCUGCUUCUUCCUUGAGGAUCUCUUCAGGCAUUGGACUUAGACUCUGUGCCUCCUCUAAAUGAGCCACUUCGGUACUAGCAUGUUCAUCAAUUGUUGUUUCUUUUAUAUCCUCACAUGUUGCAUCUUGUGGACUUGUAACAUCAUCCCCAUCACCUUGUCCUUUUCCUGAAACAUAAACCUCUUGUUCCUUUUCUUCAUAUGCUAUUUCAUUCUCAUUCAAAGCGAUAUUGGAACUGUCAUAAAAUUGUAACCCUUCUUCAGAUUCAACCUUCUCUAAGAUAGUCUCUUCACUAGUUCUGAUUUCUUCAGUAUCUUCCCCUAUACUUUCUUUAGUUUUAACAACUUCAGGUUCGUUAACUUCACUGUGGUGUUCUCUUUCUUUUAAGCCUCCUUCAUAAGUUGCAUCAUGUGAGCUUGUAACAGUAUCAUCACCUUGGUCUUUUUCUAAUGUGUUGCCCUCUUGUUUCCUUUCUAGAUCUUCAUCUUUGCUUAAAAUCGGUAGUGUUUUCUCGUUGAUCUCUACAUUAGAACUAUCAGAAUGUUUGACCUCUUCUUCAUAUUCAACUUUCUCCGAACUGGUCUCUUCAUCUACAAUUUUGUUGACAUUUUCCUCAGACUUUUGUUCUCUUUCUUCCUUCACACACUCCUCGCUUGCCUAUUCGGGAAGUUGGUUUUGUUUUUUCAGUAUACAAGAAUUAUGAAAAAAAAAAAUAAAUGAUGAUUUAUAGGAAUAGGCUCAAAGUUUAUGAAGUUAAACCUUUUGGAAUAGUUAGAUUACUUAAAAUGAACAUGAAUUACCUCUUGAGCAUCACUUGAUUUGUCCUCCUGUUCCUUUUCUUCAUCUUCAACUUUGCUUGCCAUUUCAUUCUCUUUCAGGGCAAUAUUGUAACUGUCCGAAAGCUGUAACCCUUCUUCAUAUCCAGUUUUCUCUGAAACAGUCUCUUCACUUGCUUCUUUUACAAUGGGGCUUUCAGACUUGAUCUCUGUUAAAGAACUAUCAGAAUGCUUUACCUCUUCUUUAUAUUCAACUUUUUGUAAACCAGUUUCUUCACUCUGAAUUGCUUCAUCAUUUUUUAUUUCAUGUUCUGCACUUAUUACAUGAGGCUCUGUUUGUGAUGUGAUGCAAUCUUCAGGUAUGACUUCUGUUUUCUCCUCUGUUUCAACACUUGGUUUGAUUUCUUCAGUAUCUUCCUUUUGCUCAAUCUCUGAAGAAGACUGUACAAAUUUAUCGACACUUUCCUCAUGCUCUUGUUCUCUUUCUUCCUUUGCUCCAUUCUCACACUUCUCAAUUGCCUAUUCGGGAAAAAACUAUUUUCAGUAUACUGGAAUGAUGAAAGAAAAAGAAAUGAUUACGUAUGUGAAUAGUAUUUGAUUAUAUGGUUACAUGAGAAUCAUAGUAUGGUCUUAUGGGAUUAAGCAUACAGGUAAAAAUUCACAGCUUCGUAGAUCUCUACAUGUUCAAUGUCAAAAAAUCGAGCUGUAUCUCUUCUUGUAGAUGCUUUUAUUAUGCCUAGAUUUUCCAACUAUUAUGGAGUUCAACAACUUAUACACUUACUAAUUUCCCAUACACAUACACAUUAUGAUGUACAAUUAAAACCUUUUGGAAUGCUUAGAGAUUACUUAGAUUGGAGAUGAAUUACCUCUUGAGGAUCAAUUCUGUUGUCCUCUACUUCUUCUUCCUUGGAGAUAUCUUUAGGUGCUGCAUUCAAAGUCUGCCCCUCUUCGACAUAAGCCACUGUGGUAGCAUGUUGAAAGGUCGUUUCUUCAACAUCAUCUUCUAUAUGCUCUUUAGUUUUAACAGCUUCAGCUUCAUUACCUUCACCAUGGUAGGUUUUUUCUUGUAAGCCUCCUUCAAAUAUUGUGUCCUUUAUACCAUCAUCACUUUCUAUCUGAGGUUCUGUUUUCACUGUGAUGCUAUCCUUUUUCUCAUCUGGUUCAACAUUUGGCUUGAUUUCUUCAGUAUCUUCCUCUUUCUUAAUUUCUGAACAAGACUCUACACUUCCCUCAGUUUUUUGCUCUCUUUGGUCCUAUUCAAGAAAAAUGUUUUCAGUAUAUGAAUAGGCUUACUCAAUGUUUGCAUAAGUUGGGAAAUUGUUGCAUGAUAAUAAGCAUUUAUGGAACGAAACAUGGUUUGAAACCAUUUUAUUGCAUAUAUGCACAAUUAACCCUAGUUAGAAAUUUACUUAGGUAGAAGUAGAACAUCAAUUACUAACCUCUUGAGAAUUAAUAGAUUUGUCCUCCUCUGUUUCUUCUUUAGAGGCAACAAUCUGGACACUUUGAUCAUGAAAUGGUUUGGCUUCUUCAAUCUUUGUAGACUUUCUUUCUUCCUGAUCUUCUGUAGUGACAGCCUUGCAACUUUCUGUUGUGCCUUCAUCAGCACUGACAAUGGGUACUGAGAGUGCUUGGAAAAAAGUUUCACUCUCAGUUUCCAUUUGUUCUGUAUUUACACUUUCUGCCACUUCAAGUUGCUUCACUUUGUUACCAGAAAAUUCUGCAAUUUUUUCUUCCAAAAUUUCACUUGACAAACCGUAAUC